GAGUACCAGGUGUUUCCAUUCUGUGAUCAGGACAGAACACAGACACCCCACCAUGGAGUCUGUGCUUGGCUGGGUUUUCCUGGUUGCUCUUUUAAAAGGUGUCCAGAGUGACAUGCAGCAUUGGAGUCUGGGAGAGACCUGGUUGAAGCCUGGGGGAUCCCUGAGACUCACCUAUGUUGCCUCUGGAUUCACCUUCAGUAGCUACUACACGAAAUGGUUUCACCAGGCUCCAGGAAAGGGGCUGGAGUGGGUUGCAUAUAUUAAUACUGAUGGAAGUAGCACAAGCUAUGCAGAAUCUGUGAAGGGUCGAUUCACCAUCUCCAGAGACAACUCCAAGAACACCCUGUAUCUGCAGAUGAACAACCUGAGGGCCGAGGACACGGUCACAUAUUACUGUGCAGUGAGGGGACCUUGCUGGGAGCGCAGACACAAACCUCUCUUCAGGAGGGGAUCAGCACCACCAGGAAGUGCACAUUAUGCACAAUUCUGGUUUGUGUUCCCAGGCGCAGAUGUCCCUGAGCAGGAGCAUGAGGCUGGCAGAAGGCCAGGUCACCCUGAGGGCAUACCUCUUACUAUUUGCACUCUGGGCAGUGCUGGCUCCUGUCCAGGAUUCUCAAGGGCGUCCCUCAUGGCGCUACAUCUUUCUGAGGUGGUAAUUCCCAAGAAGAAGCUGCACAACAGCAAGGGCAUUCAGAUGACUGGCUGGCUGUCCUGUAGCCUGUGUUUUGGGGACUAG